rnacentral:rRNA from 1 species
AUUGAACGCUGGCGGAAUGCUUUACACAUGCAAGUCGAGCGGCAGCACGGGGGCAACCCUGGUGGCGAGCGGCGAACGGGUGAGUAAUACAUCGGAACAUGCCCAGUCGUGGGGGAUAACACUUCGAAAGAAGUGCUAAUACCGCAUACGUCCUGAGGGGGAAAGCGGGGGAUCGCAAGACCUCGCGCGAUUGGAGUGGCCGAUGUCAGAUUAGCUAGUUGGUGGGGUAAAGGCCUACCAAGGCAACGAUCUGUAGCUGGUCUGAGAGGAUGAUCAGCCACACUGGGACUGAGACACGGCCCAGACUCCUACGGGAGGCAGCAGUGGGGAAUUUUGGACAAUGGGGGCAACCCUGAUCCAGCCAUUCCGCGUGAGUGAAGAAGGCCUUCGGGUUGUAAAGCUCUUUCGGCAGGAACGAAACGGUGAGCUCUAACAUAGCUUGCUAAUGGCGGUACCUGAAGAAGAAGCACCGGCUAACUACGUG